GUGCCAGCCGCCGCGGUAAAACGUAGGAGACAAACGUUAUCCGGAGUUACUGGGCGUAAAGGGCGUGCAGGCGGCUGUUUAAGUUCGGCGUGAAAGGCUUCGGCUCAACCGGGGUAGGUCGUCGGAUACUGGACAGCUUGAGGGUGAUAGAGGCGGGUGGAAUUCCGGGUGUAGUGGUGAAAUGCGUAGAGAUCCGGAGGAACACCAGUGGCGAAGGCGACCCGCUGGAUCACACCUGACGCUGAGACGCGACAGCAUGGGGAGCGAACGGGAUUAGAAACCCGCGUAGUCC
rnacentral:rRNA from 1 species